CCUACGGGUGGCAGCAGUGAGGAAUAUUGGUCAAUGGACGCAAGUCUGAACCAGCCAAGUCGCGUGAAGGAUGACUGCCCUAUGGGUUGUAAACUUCUUUUAUAAGGGAGUAAACCGCGGUACGUGUGCCUUUUUGCAUGUACCUUAUGAAUAAGGAUCGGCUAACUCCGUGCCAGCAGCCGCGGUAAUACGGAGGGGGCAAGCGUUGUUCGGAAUGACUGGGGGUAAAGGGUGGGUAGGCGGUGUAGUAAGUUAGAAGGGGAAUAACUGGGGCUUAACACAGGUACUGCUUCUAAAAUUGCUGUACUUGAGUGCAGUAGAGGAAAGCGGAAUGCGUGGUGUAGCGGUGAAAUGCGUAGAUAUCAGGCAGAACAUCGAUGGCGAAGGCAGCUUACUGGACUGUAACUGACGCUGAGGCACGAAAGUGUGGGGAGCAAACAGGAUUAGAUACCCCAGUAGUC
rnacentral:rRNA from 1 species